rnacentral:rRNA from 1 species
CACAUCGAGAAGAACACAGGGAUUGCCUCAGUAACGGCGAGUGAAGCGGCAACAGCUCAAAUUUGAAAUCUGGCUCCUUCGGGGCCCGAGUUGUAAUUUGCAGAGGAUGCGUCGGGUACGGGUGCCUUCCGAGUUCCCUGGAACGGGACGCCAUAGAGGGUGAGAGCCCCGUCUGGUAGGACACCCAGCCCGUGUGACGCUCCCUCGACGAGUCGAGUAGUUUGGGAAUGCUGCUCUAACGGGAGGUAUACUCCUUCCAAGGCUAAAUACCGGCUGGAGACCGAUAGCGCACAAGUAGAGUGAUCGAAAGAUGAAAAGCACUUUGAAAAGAGAGUCAAACAGCACGUGAAAUUGUUAAAAGGGAAGCGCUCGCUACCAGACUUGGGUUCGGCGGUUCAACCGGGGCCACGCCCCGGGGCAUUCCGCCGGCCCAGGCCAGCAUCAGCUUUCCGUCGGGGGUAAAGGCGUCGGGAAUGUGGCUCCCCUUCGGGGGAGUGUUAUAGCCCGUCGUGUCAUACCCUUCGGGGGGCUGAGGUACGCGCUUCUGCAAGGAUGCUGGCGUAAUGGUAGCUAGUGACCCGUCUUGAAACACGGACCAAGGAGUCAACCUUAUGUGCGAGUGCCCGGGCGUAAAACCCCAGCGCGGAAUGAAAGUGAACGUAGGUGAGAGCUUCGGCGCAUCACCGACCGAUCCUGAUGUCCUCGGACGGAUUUGAGUGAGAGCAUAUAGGGUUGGACCCGAAAGAAGAUGAACUAUGCGUGUGUAGGGUGAAGCCAGAGGAAACUCUGGUGGAGGCUCGCAGCGGUUCUGACGUGCAAAUCGAUCGUCAAACAUGCGCAUGGGGGCGAAAGACUAAUCGAUCUCCUUCCGCCC